AAAAAUAUGUCUAGUGUAGUUUUAUUUCUUUUGUAGGUAGUGUGUGCAUCCACCUAUGCCUCAUCAAGCUCACAACUAGGGUUUGAGACCCUCAGUGCAAGGAAUCAAUAAAAGAAAAUGUCCACAUUGGUUCAAGGCAUCAUAUAUGGAUCCCCUUGUUCUUUAUUUGUCAUUUUGAUCAAGAAUUCAUCAAGAGUUUGAAGCUUGGAAGCCUUAAUUCAUCUGUGUAUCUUGUGUGCCUUCCUCAAUAAGUUUCUUCAACAUUUGGUCAAGGAUAUUAUGUGAUACUUCAUUGAAUUUAAUCAUAAGCAUAUAUGAUCCUCCGUGAUCCCCAAAGAGCAAAGGAAAUUCAAG
rnacentral:lncRNA from 1 species